UAUGAAGGCCAGGCUGAAGACUUUGCCGGAUUAGCUGAGAGGUGGUGCAUGGCCGUCGUCAGUUCGUACUGUGAAGCAUCCUGUUAAGUCAGGCAACGAGCGAGACCCACGCCCACAGUUGCCAGCGUACUCUCCGGAGUGACGGGUACACUGUGGGGACCGCCGCUGCUAAAGCGGAGGAAGGAAUGGGCAACGGUAGGUCAGUAUGCCCCGAAUAUCCCGGGCUACACGCGAGCUACAAUGGUUGGUACAAUGGGUAUCUACCCCGAAAGGGGACGGGAAUCUCCUAAAACCAAUCUUAGUUCGGAUUGAGGGCUGCAACUCGCCCUCAUGAAGCUGGAAUCCGUAGUAAUCGCGUUUCAACAGAACGCGGUGAAUACGUCCCUGCUCCUU
rnacentral:rRNA from 1 species